rnacentral:antisense_RNA from 1 species
GAGUAGAAUUUUGUCCAUUCAGCAAUUUUUUCCAUUCGUUUGUCUUUGUAAAGAUCCCCAUAAGAAGUUCUUACAGGGAAAGCACCUGUACGAACAACAUUUUUAGGUCCCCAUUCUUUAUCAUCAGCGAUAAAUUGGAUAAAUGUCUUAGAGGCAGCGACUUUUUGUUCAUCUUUGUUAUUAAAGACCGCAAAACCAUUUACGAGGUAUUCUAGUUCUGGUUUGCCAUCAUCUGAUGGGAAUGGGAUUUCAAGGUAAUCCACUUUACUAGCUUCUAACAAUUUAGCUUGGAUGCCUGGUUGUGCAGGCGCCCAAAGAAUGGUAAAGGAAGUUUGGCCAUUCGCAAAGUUUUGAAUAUCAGCUGAACCAUCGUACUGAGAGCCAUUCAUCAUUAAACCAUCUUUAAUCCAAUUGGAAAUCUUGGUCAUGGCUUUAAUAGAGUUAGCAUCAUCUGUGGUGUAUUUGGUUACUUUGUCAUCGGUAAUAUGACUACUAUAAAGGUUAGCAAAGAAGGCACGUGGUCCUUGGUCACCACCUUGACCAUUAGCAAAGAAAGAACCUGGGUUAUAUCCUUUGUCCUUCAAUGCUUUCAAGACUUUUUCAAAAUCAUCUGUUGUCCAACCCUCUUUCACAAGAUCAAGGACGCCAGCAUCUUUGAGCAUUUUUUUAUUCAACGCCAUGUAGAAUGGAGCAGAGCUGAUAGGAUACAUGUAAGCUGUAUCUCCUGCUUUUGAGGCUUGAAUCAAUUUGUCAUUGUUAACAUCUUUGGUAAACUCUUCUGUGAACAAGUCAUUCAAGUCAGCCAAUUUCCCAUUUUUACCAUAUUGAAUGAUACGACCUGGAGCAUCAAAGAGGACAUCAGGAGCUGUUCCAGCUUCAAUAGCAGUUGUGAUUUUCUCAGGACCAGAUGUAAAAUCAAUGGUUUCCAAUUUUACCUUGAUUUCUGGAUUAGCUUUCUCAAAGGCAGCAAUCAAUUUCUUCUCAUAGGUUCCCACACCAUCUUCAGCUUUUUCUUGCGUGAAGACCGGGAAAGCCCACCAUGUGAUUUCUGUCUUAGCAGUAUCAGAUUUACUUGCACCAGCCUCUUUCUGGCUCUUUCCGCCACAAGCUGCUAGUCCUAAAACAGAUGCACCAAGCAUCGCUAAUGAAGCUAACUUCUUCAUGUUCAUCGUAAAAUCUCCUUUUUUUGAUGUGUGUUUCUAGUUUGACAACCACUAUUAGGAUUUGAGCGCUUCGAUAAAACGCUCUGCAAUUUCCUUAGGCCUUGUGAUGGCCCCUCCAACAACAAUACCUGCCACACCUAAGUCAUUAAUUUUCUUGGCUUCUUCUGGGGAAUGAAUCUUUCCUUCGGCAAUGACAGCAAUGCCUGCUUUGCAAAGAGCUUCUAUCAAUGCCACAUCAGGACCUGCUUCCUGACGGCUAUACGGGGUGUAGCCUGACAAGGUGGUUCCAACAAAAUCAAUGCCAGCCUGAUGGGCCACUAGUCCUUCAUCAAAGGUACUAAUAUCUGCCAUCAAAAGCUGAUUGGGGUACUUUUCCUUAACUUGUCGAAUAAAGCUAGCAAUAUCCAAGCCAUCAUGUCGGUCACGCUUGGUACAAUCCAUAGCAAUCACUGCAAUAUUUAAGGCAGCUAAUUGAUCCACUUCGGUCAUCGUUGCCGUAAUAAAAGGCUCUUGCGGCGGGUAAUCUUUUUUGAUGAUACCGAUAAUUGGUAGGUCUGUUAUGGCUUGAAUUUCUUUAAUGUCUCUAACCGAAUUAGCUCUGAUGCCGACAGCACCAGCUUCUUGAGCAGCUUUUGCCAUCAGUGGCAUAAUACCCCCAGUCUCUGAAUAGAGAGGCUCACCUGGCAAAGCCUGACAAGAAACGAUAAUCCCACCCUUUAACUGCUCCAUGAGCUUUUCUUUGGUUGGUUUAUCAGGCAUAGUUUCUACUCCUUGUGUUUCUUAGUUUUAAUAAAAAUAACGUUCACAAAGUUAUUAUAACAAAAAAUAAAGCGCUUUCAAUAGCAAUGAGACUUUUAGAAUCUACU